UACGUAGGGGGCAAGCGUUGUCCGGAAUUACUGGGCGUAAAGGGCUCGUAGGCGGUUUGUCGCGUCGGGAGUGAAAACACUGGGCUUAACUCAGUGCUUGCUUCCGAUACGGGCAGACUAGAGGUAUUCAGGGGAGAACGGAAUUCCUGGUGUAGCGGUGAAAUGCGCAGAUAUCAGGAGGAACACCGGUGGCGAAGGCGGUUCUCUGGGAAUGUCCUGACGCUGAGGAGCGAAAGUGUGGGGAGCGAACAGG
rnacentral:rRNA from 1 species